GGCCCGCAAGCGCCGCGCGCAGCCCCGGUUCCUGCUCGCGCCUCUCCCUCCACACCUCCCUGCAAGCUGAGGGAGCGGCUCCGGCCUUGGCCAGCCCACAAAGGAGCUCCCACAGGGCAGCGGUGGGCUGAAGGGCUUCUCAAGUGCCGCGGAAGUGGGAGCUCAGGCAGAGGAGGCCCGGAGAGCGAGCGAGGGCUGUGAAGACUGCCAGCACGCUGUCAUCUCUCAAUUUGAGCAGAGAUUGGAUUCCCAGCAAAUAGUCUCUUAGAUGGAGUUUAGUGUUUAGGAUAUUAACUAUGGAGUGCCUUUAGAGUCAAUACAGGAGGGAGAGAAGGAAAGAAAACUGUGAAGAACAAGAAGUCAAUUUGCGGCAGCCACCACAGCUUAACUUAUGCAGCAGCCCUGGACCUCAUUUCAACGAAUCGGGUCAAUAUGGUGAGAAACAGAAAUGAAAUUUGAAGCUCCUCAGCUAACUGAAUGGACCCCCUCUUGGCCAAUGGGACUCCAGAGCAACCUUGAAAACUGAGCUUUUGGCCCUGAUGAGUAGGAGGUUCAAGCGAUUCUCCUGCCUCAGCCUCCCAAGUAGCUGGAUUACUGGCAUGCAACACCACUCUCAGCUGAUUUUGUAUUUUUAGUAGAGACGAGGUUUCUCCAUGUUGGUCAGGCUGAUCUGGAACCCCCGACCACAGGUGAUCCGCCCGCCUUGGCCUCAG